rnacentral:rRNA from 1 species
CCUACGGGUGGCUGCAGUGGGGAAUAUUGGACAAUGGGGGCAACCCUGAUCCAGCCAUGCCGCGUGUGUGAAGAAGGCCCUCGGGUUGUAAAGCACUUUCAGUGAGGAAGAACGCCUGGUGGUUAAUACCCAUCAGGAAAGACAUCACUCACAGAAGAAGCACCGGCUAACUCCGUGCCAGCAGCCGCGGUAAUACGGAGAGUGCGAGCGUUAAUCGGAAUUACUGGGCGUAAAGCGCGCGUAGGUGGCUUGAUAAGCCGGUUGUGAAAGCCCCGGGCUCAACCUGGGAACGGCAUCCGGAACUGUCAAGCUAGAGUGCAGGAGAGGAAGGUAGAAUUCCCGGUGUAGCGGUGAAAUGCGUAGAGAUCGGGAGGAAUACCAGUGGCGAAGGCGGCCUUCUGGACUGACACUGACACUGAGGUGCGAAAGCGUGGGUAGCAAACAGGAUUAGAUACCCUUGUAGUC